rnacentral:lncRNA from 1 species
GGGGUCAUGAGGAAAAGGAAAUAGGAAGUGACAGGAAGGAAGAGCAUCGAGGAAACUGCUUCCCAGGAACCCAGAGGCCCACACCAGCUCCCACUGCCACCACCAAGGUUAUGUUAUGCUCACCAGCCUCAGACUCUGUGUCUACAAAACAGGAAUGCAGAGGAGAGCUGCUGUGAGAACCUGCUGACCCACCCUACACCAAAUCCUGGGCUUGCAAUCAGUCCAGGUUCACGGAGGUCCUGCUGCACAGCGUGUGACUGGUCCCAUGCUGGGCACUUCAGCCCAAGAGAUAACAAGACACAGGGGGCAGCCCGGAGGACACUCAGGGCCAUAAGGAGACAGACAGGGGUUCGAAUCUCUUGGAGCCAACCCAGUGGUGACAAGUACACUUAGGUUCUGGGGAGGACAGUAAGGAGGGGGUACUGUGUAGGGAAGGAUGAAGUGGGGAGCAGAAAGGUCCAGAGAGGGAACAACACAGGCAAAGCACAGAAUGAAGAGCCAUACCAAAGAGAAAGGAGAGAGAGAGGCUGUGCCUGCCAAGCAGGUGACUGAGGACAGGGAGAUCCGGAAUGCCUGGGGAUGGCAGGAAGGAGGAGGAGAAAACGGAGACUCCAAGAAGUUGAGUAAUUCGUCAGCAUGCAAAUUUUAUGCCUUUCUUGUUCAAUUUAUUCCUGGUUAUUUGAUGCUAAUGCAAAUUGGGAAUUGUUCUCAUAUUUUCAUUUUCAGAGUGCUUGAUAAUG